UCCGGUUUGUCACCGGCAGUCUCCCUAGAGUGCCCUUGCGUAGCAACUAGGGACAAGGGUUGCGCUCGUUGCGGGACUUAACCCAACAUCUCACGACACGAGCUGACGACAGCCAUGCAGCACCUGUGUUCCGAUUCCCUUUCGGGCACAGCUGGAUUUCUCCAGCCUCUCGGACAUGUCAAGGGUAGGUAAGGUUUUUCGCGUUGCAUCGAAUUAAUCCACAUAAUCCACCGCUUGUGCGGGUCCCCGUCAAUUCCUUUGAGUUUUAACGUUGCCGCCGUACUCCCCAGGCGGGGCACUUAAUGCGUUAGCGACGGCGCGGAUCUCGUUGGUUGAGACCCACACCUAGUGCCCAACGUUUACGGCGUGGACUAC
rnacentral:misc_RNA from 1 species